AGAAACUGCUUGUAAUAGCUAUUCCGGGUCGCUUUCUCGUCACUCGUCUAGGGGGACUGAUUGAGGGUCGACCCCAACGAACCUGAAAAUAAAUCUCUUGCUUUUGUAUCUA
rnacentral:lncRNA from 1 species